CCCUCCUGUGCCUACUGAACUGGUAUCAGUUUGAACUCUGAGUACUGGCUCAGUUCAGCAGGAACAGGAGU
rnacentral:pre_miRNA from 1 species